rnacentral:rRNA from 1 species
AGGGUUCGAUCCUGGCUCAGGAUGAACGCUAGCGGCAGGCUUAACACAUGCAAGUCGAGGGGUAACAGAGGUAGCUUGCUACUUGCUGACGACCGGCGCACGGGUGCGUAACGCGUAUAGAAUCUACCUUGUACUAGGGGAUAGCCUUUGGAAACGAAGAUUAAUACCCUAUAGUAAGUAUUUAUGGCAUCAUUUAUACUUUAAAGGUUACGGUACAAGAUGACUAUGCGUCCUAUUAGUUUGUUGGUGAGGUAACGGCUCACCAAGACUUCGAUAGGUAGGGGCCCUGAGAGGGGGAUCCCCCACACUGGUACUGAGACACGGACCAGACUCCUACGGGAGGCAGCAGUGAGGAAUAUUGGACAAUGGAGGCAACUCUGAUCCAGCCAUGCCGCGUGCAGGAUGACGGCCCUAUGGGUUGUAAACUGCUUUUAUGUAGGAAGAAACACUCUCACGUGUGAGAGCUUGACGGUACUACAAGAAUAAGGACCGGCUAACUCCGUGCCAGCAGCCGCGGUAAU